rnacentral:rRNA from 1 species
GAGUGGCGAACGGGUGAGUAACGCGUGGGCAAUCUACCCUUAAGUUGGGGAUAGCUUCGGGAAACCGGAGGUAAUACCGAAUGUGGUCGCCCUAAGGCAUCUUGGGGUUGUCUAAAGGUGGGGAUCUCGAUCUUGAUCGGGACCUGCCGCUUGAGGUGGAGCCCGCGUCCCAUCAGCUUGUUGGUGAGGUAACGGCCCACCAAGGCUACGACGCGUAGCGGAUCUGAGAGGAUGAUCCGUCACAUUGGGACUGAGAUACGGCCCAGACUCCUACGGGAGGCAGCAGUAGGGAAUAUUGCGCAAUGGGCGAAAGCCUGACGCAGCGACGCCGCGUGUGGGAGGAAGCCUUUCGGGGUGUAAACCACUGUCAGAGGGGAAGAACCGCGACAUUUCGAACAGAGUGUCGUCUGACGGUACCCUCAGAGGAAGCGCCGGCUAACUCCGUGCCAGCAGCCGCGGUAAGACGGAGGGCGCAAGCGUCGUUCGGAAUUACUGGGCGUAAAGCGCGGGCAGGUGGUCCGUUAAGUCGUCUGUGAAAAUCCGGGGCUCAACCCCGUGAAAUGCAGGCGAUACUGGCGGACU